UCGGCAAGAACCAAUGAAGGAGUAAAACUAUGAGAGUGUGGAGAUAUUCCUGAACAACUUGUACCAUUCCUUCCCUCCAAUUUAAGCACCCAAGAAAGCCAAGGGUGGUGUUGUUGCAUUUUGCUUUUACAUGAAUCUUCUUUAUUAUGAACUAUCAAAGUUUAAAACCAUUUUAUGAACAUAAUCGUUAGACAAAACAAAAUUUUAAACUCUUUCGUAGAUUUUCAAUAUGUUGCCUUAAAGCCAGUUAUUUCUUUCACUGUUAACAUUCAACUAACACAAACUAGACAAUUGUUACACGAAAAAUAAA